rnacentral:rRNA from 1 species
AGAAUCAACGCUGGCGGCGUGCCUAACACAUGCAAGUCGCACGAGAAAGGGGAGCAAUCCCUGAGUAAAGUGGCGCACGGGUGAGUAACACGUGAAUGAUCUACCUCCGAGUGGGGAAUAACUGAGAGAAAUCUUAGCUAAUACCGCAUAACACUUACGAGUCAAAGCAGCAAUGCGCUUGGAGAGGAGUUCGCGGCCGAUUAGCUAGUUGGCGGGGUAAUGGCCACCAAGGCGAUGAUCGGA